ACAAGACUGUUGUCACAUCGACUGGCUACACACGGAGUGAUAGACAAACUUGCGCACCACACAGACAGACGCGCAAUAUCCUGAAAAAUAUUUGGUAGAUAUUUUGUUAGUGGCUAACCAGAGGUUUGAAAAAUGUCAAUGUUGCGUUGAUUAGAUAGUAGCUGGGAGCUUGCGGUGUCGAAUAGUUGUGAGAUUUGUUUAUGACAGUGCGAUGGAACACGUGAAAAAUUGCAUGUAUUUUUGGAAUUGUUUGGCGAGCUACUCAUAGGUGGACUGCGAGCUACUGCACUUCACUGAUGGAAAGCCAAGCGAAAUAUGUCCUAACUCAGUAGAUGCGGGGAGCACAUGGCUGGAACAACAUCCUUCAGAUGCCCUCCAAACAAAAGCCAACCCCGGCCAAACCCAGAUGACGCUGGGCCAAUUGUGCUCCACCCUAUGGGACUCCCAAUCACGGCUGGAUGUGAUACAGUCUGGAUACACUAUAUGUGGACACCCCUUCAAAUUAGUAGAUUUGGCUAUUUCAGAUACAACCAUUGCUGACAAGUGUAUAAAAUCGAGUACACAGCCAUGCAAUCUCCAUAGACAAACAUUGGCAUUAGAUUGGCCUUACUGAAAAGCUUGGUGACUUUCAAUGUGGCACCGUCAUAGAAUGCCACCUUUCCAACAUGUCAGUUCAUAACAUUUCUGCCCUGCUAGAGCUGCCCCCGUCAACUAUACAGUAAGUGCUGUUGUUGUGUGGAAACAUCUAGGAGCAACAAGGCAGCCGCGAAGUGGUAGGCCACACAAGAUUACAGAACAGGGCCGAUGAGUGCUGAAGCACAUAGCGCUUAAAAAAUCUUCUGUCCUCGGUUGCAACACUACAGAGUUCCAAACUGCCUCUGGAAGCAAUGUCAGGACAAGAACUGUUCCAUCGUACACAAGCCUAAAAUCACCAUGUGCAAUGCCAAGCGUCAAUGAAGUUGUGUUAAGCUCGCCACUAUUGGACUCUGGAGCAGUGGAAACGCGUUGUCUGGAGUGAUGAAUCAUGCUUCACCACCUGGCUGUCCGACGGACGAAUCUGGGUUUGGCAGAUGCCAGGAAAACGCUUCCUGCCUCAAUGCAUAGUGCCAAUUGUAAAGUUUGGUGGAGGAGGAAAUGGUCUGGGGCUAUUUUUUAUGGUUCAGGCUAGGCCCCUUAGUUCCAGAGAAGGGAAAUCUUAACGCUAACGCAUUCAAAGACAUUCCAGACGAUUCUAUGUUCUAAUUCUGUGGCAACAAUUUGGGUAAGGCCCUUCACUGUUUCAGCAUGACAAUGCACCCAUCCACAAAGCCAGGUCCUUACAGAUAUGGUUUGUCGAGAUUGGUUUAGAAGAUCUUGACUGGCCAGCACAGAGCCCCGACCUCAACCCAUUCGAAAACCGUUGGGAUUAAUUGGAACACUGACGGCGAGCCAGAUAUUUAUCCCCUCACCCUCUUUGAUCACGUGGAAGUCCUUGAUUGAGGACACAUGAUCCUCCACGGUCAUGUCCCUCGCACUAAAGGGACACUUCACCUCCAGCACUCCACUCAUGACAUUGCCACAGGUAACUGCAUCAGGCGAAGCUCCUAGAAAAGGUAGGCUGGGCCGCAAGAGUAGACUGCAUCUGAGCAGGUGCCUAUCUGGGAAUUUCUUGAGGUACAUUGAUAGCAUCAUAGCUUAUCGGCUUGGAAGAUACUUGUUUUGGACUGCACAAAUGCCUCUGCCACUCUUUUUGUAUUUUUGUGACUUCGCUAAAUGCUGUGAUGCUGUGAUUCUCCCUUCUCUCUCCUGGUGCCACUGCUCAGAGCUGCCUUGUUCCCAUGUUUGGUGCCGUCUUUCCCUGUGUAUAUCUAACAACAUUUGAAGACCCACAGUAUGGUGUUGAUGGAGGUGGUGGUAGAUGAUGAUUGGUCGAUGGGAAAAAUGAGCAAAGAGAAAUGACAGUCUGUUCAUUACUUUAAGACAUGAAGGUCAGUCAAUCCGGAACAUUUCAAGAACUUUGAAAGUUUCUUCAAGUGCAGUCGCAAAAAGUGCUAUGAUGAAACUGGCUCUCAUGAGGACUGCCACAGGAAAGGAAGACUCAGAGUUACCUCUGCUGCAGAGGAUAAGUUCAUUAGCGUUAACUGCACCUCAGAUUGCAGCCCAAAUUAAUGCAGACACAUCUCAAUAUCAACUUUUCAUAGGAGACUGCGUGAAUCAGGCCUUCAUGGUCGAAAUGCUGCAAAGAAGCCACCUCUAAAGGACACCAAUAAGUAAAAAAGACUUGCUUGGGCCAAGAAACACGAGCAAUGGACAUUAGACUGGUGGAAAUUAGUCCAAAUUUGAGAGACGCCGAGUAGGUGAACGGAUGAUCUCCGCAUGUGUGGUUCCCACCGUGAAGCAUGGAGGAGGAGGUGUGAUGGCGAGGGGAUGCUUUUCUGGUGACACUGUUAGUGAGUUAUUUCAAGGCACACUUAACCAGCAUGGCUACCACAGCAUUUCUAGUGAUAUGCCAUCCCAUUUGGUUUGCGUGUAGUGGGACUAUAAUUUGUUUAUCAACAGGACAAUGUCCCAACACACCUCCAGGCAGUGUAAGAGUUAUUUGAUGAAGGAGAGUGAUGGAGUGGUGCAUUAGAUGACCUGGCCUCCACAAUCACCCGACCUCAACCCAAUUGAGAUAGUGUUCUGAUAUCCAGAAGUUAUUUUCUGUCAUAAGAGACAGUAGCAUCAACAUUAUGUUAAAAAUAAGUUACAAACAAUGUGAAAUUGGUUAGGAGCCCGUGAAACGGCAGCCAUCCCCUCCGGCGGCAUUUUCCUGAUGUGUUUUAAGCGUUCUUGUGGACUUCCAUCUUUUUUUUCUAUUAAAAAAGGGUGAUUUUCAUCGAAAACCUGAAAAAUUGGGGAAAUGUUUACCUGGAAAAAUGAAACGGAGAAAACAGAAUUUGGGAAAAUACAAAACGGAAUCAGGCAAAAUUAUGUAACGUGAUUUUUUUUAGAACCCUAUGUAUGCUAUGCUCAGCUAACUUGUGUAUCCUCCCUGGGGGCAGAGAUGGGGUGUUAGGUUAUAAAUAUCAGUGGAAGAACUCAACGGACACUAUGAAAGCUUAAACCAAGUUUAUUCAUCCCAAAGGAUCGAACAGCUGAACAGACAGACAUAUUCACACAAGCACGGAUAUUUAACCUUUUCUCCUAUGCUGAGUCUCCUCCUACACAACUGAACAGCCAAUGCAUCUCUGUUACCCGACACAACCUUAGUGAUAUCUGUCUUCCUCACUUCAUCUGACCUGACCUGUUCCCCAAAGUGCUCACUCCACCCCAACGCACGGCUGUCAUGGUGACUGGUACCAGACUGUGUCUCUUCUCCCAGAGGAUCCCUCUAACAAUAACAUAUCCUGACAUAAUGUAAAUGUUAUACAUUACCCUUUCUCCCUCAGUGACAUGAAUAAGUAUAUUUCAUAUUCUUAGAACCAAACAGGGGGCUGGGGCUCCCCCUUUCCGCCCAAUGGUCUCUUUUCCCACUGAUCCAGCUCCAGCCCAGAGGCCUUCACAUUGUCCAAAUCCAUUGUAAAAAAUAGUUUGGUAUUCAUUUAACACUUCAACUAUGCCUCAUUGUCUUCUGUGCUCUAUUAUUACAUAUACUGCAUAUACUGUGGUAUUCUAGAAGGAGAGUGUAUAAAAGUGUACUAGUCCGAGUGUUUAUUUCUGAUGAAAUGUGUGAUCUAAC
ensembl:lncRNA